UGUCUUCAUUAAUUUUAGUUGGCACUAAUUGUUGCCCAGUCAAGGGAUUCUAGUGGUAGUCUCUCAGGGAUUAAGUUACCUUCUCUCAGUAUUGGCUUACAAAGAAUCAGUAGCCUAGCAUUAAGACUAAAUGCAUCAGUUCAUUUACCAAGGAUAGGUCACUCUACUCCUCAUUUCAAUUGGUAUGGUACUGAGAGAUUAAUCAGAAAACAUCUCUCAAGCAAAGGAAUACCAACCUUUAUUUAUUAUUUUCCACGUCAUGGACAACACAAAACUAUACCAAGUGUCAGCCCUGAACUUCAUACUAAAGUAGUGGAUCCAUUACCUGAAAUAUUUACUGAUAUCAGUGUCUGUUUCUAUGGAAUUGAUGAGAGCACCAAACUCGUUCUAACCCGUUAUAUAAUAGC